ACGAGUGAGGGCUCCGGCCCGACCUCCAACCCUUUUGUGAACCAACCUCGUUGCUUCGGGGGCGACCCCGCCGUUCGCGCGGCGGCGGCGCCCCCGGAGGCCCAUUCAAACACUGCGUAACUUUGCGUCGGAGUUUAAAACAAAUUAAACA
rnacentral:misc_RNA from 1 species